GAUGAACGCUGGCGGCGUGCUUAACACAUGCAAGUCGAACGGAAAGGCCCUGCGUUUGUGGGUUUCUCGAGUGGCGCACGGGUGAGUAACACGUGAGUAACAUCCCCCUGUAUUUCGGGUAAAUUCACGGGACUCCGGAUCAUAUCCCAUAGAAGCUCCUGCUGCAUGUUGGUCGUUGGAAAGUUUCGGCGGUUGGGGAUCGACUCGCGGGUUAUGAGCUUGUUGGUGGGGUAGUGGCUUACACAGGCUUCGACGGGUAGCCGGCCUGAGAGGGGGACCGGGGACAUUGGUACUGAGGGACGGAGCAGACGCGUACGGGAGGCAGCAGUGGGGAGUCUGGCGCAGUGGGCGGGAGCGUGAUGCGGCGGCGCUGGGUGCGGGAUGACGGCUUUCGGGUGGUGAACCGCUUUGGCCUGUGACGAAGCGGGAGUGACGGUAAUGGGUAAGGAAGCAACGGCUAACUACGUG
rnacentral:rRNA from 1 species